rnacentral:rRNA from 1 species
UACAUGGGGUGCAAACGUUGCUCGGAAUUAUUGGGCGUAAAGCGCACGUAGGCGGUUCGUUAAGUCGGAUGUGAAAGCCCUCGGCUCAACUGAGGAAGUGCACCCGAAACUGGCGAGCUUGAGUACGAAAGAGGAUCGCGGAAUUCCCGGUGUAGAGGUGAAAUUCGUAGAUAUCGGGAGGAACACCGGUGGCGAAGGCGGGUCUCUGGGCCGUAACUGACGCUGAGGAGCGAAAGCGUGGGAGCAAACAGG